UAUUGGGCAAUGGACGCAAGUCUGACCCAGCAACGCCGCGUGAAGGAAGAAGGCUUUCGGGUUGUAAACUUCUUUUAAGGGGGAAGAGCAGAAGACGGUACCCCUUGAAUAAGCAACGGCUAACUACGUGCCAGCAGCCGCGGUAAUACGUAGGUGGCAAGCGUUGUCCGGAUUUACUGGGUGUAAAGGGCGUGCAGCCGGAGAGACAAGUCAGAUGUGAAAUCCGCAGGCUCAACCUGCGAACUGCAUUUGAAACUGUUUCCCUUGAGUAUCGGAGAGGUCGUCGGAAUUCCUAGUGUAGCGGUGAAAUGCGUAGAUAUUAGGAAGAACACCAGUGGCGAAGGCGGAUGACUGGACGACAACUGACGGUGAGGCGCGAAAGCGUGGGGAGCAAACAGG
rnacentral:rRNA from 1 species